rnacentral:rRNA from 1 species
AGGACGAACGCUGGCGGCGCGCUUAACACAUGCAAGUCGAGCGAGAACCUGGGCUUCGGGCCUCGUGCCCGAAAACCAGGGGACAGCGGCGAACGGGUGAGUAACACGUGAGCAACCUGCCCUUGACUCUGGAAUAACAGCUGGAAACAGCUGCUAAUACUGGAUACGACCUCCGGCGACAUCGCCUGGAGGUGGAAAGCUCCGGCGGUCAAGGAUGGGCUCGCGGCCUAUCAGCUUGUUGGUGAGGUAACGGCUCACCAAGGCUUCGAC